AUGAGAUUGGAAUACAGAAAAACAAUUAAAGACGAUACUGUAAGCAGAGUCCUCUUGGUUUGUGGGAAAUACGGCAAGCCAAAAACAAAAAAGGAGGAGACAGAGGAUGUGCAGGACCCAAAAGGCAUCGUGAAGAAGGGGAAAAGAGGGAAGGUUGUGAGGUCGGGAUGUCCGGCCCACCUUUACAUCACCCACACGGAUGCGUGGUGGAGAGUCAAAUGCUUCAACGACGACCACAACCACCCUCUAAUAAGAAAGCCGUCCUUGACAAAGUUCCUAUCAUCACAUAGGAACAUUCCAAAAGAUGAGCAGGACUUCUUGAAGAUAUUGCACGGAUGCAACAUAGAGACAGCAAGGCUGAUGCAACUAAUGUCAUGGUUCUACGGGAAUCCUAAAGAUGUACCAUACACAACAAAGGACAUCGCAAACUAG
rnacentral:rRNA from 1 species